AGGGGUAACGAUGGUUUCGGCCAGGCGACGACCGGCGCACGGGUGAGUAACGCGUAUGCAACCUACCAUUAACUGGGGGAUAGCCCGAAGAAAUUCGGAUUAAUACCCCAUGACACUAUGAUAUCACCUGGUAUUAUAGUUAAAGCUCCGGCGGUUUUUGAUGGGCAUGCGUGACAUUAGAUUGUUGGUGAGGUAACGGCUCACCAAGUCUACGAUGUCUAGGGGGUCUGAGAGGAUGGUCCCCCACACUGGUACUGAGACACGGACCAGACUCCUACGGGAGGCAGCAGUGAGGAAUAUUGGGCAAUGGACGCAAGUCUGACCCAGCCAUGCCGCGUGCAGGAUGACGGCCCUACGGGUUGUAAACUGCUUUUAUACGGGAAGAAACCUCGGGACGUGUCCUGAGCUGACGGUACCGUAAGAAUAAGCACCGGCUAACUCCGUGCCAGCAGCCGCGGUAAUACGGAGGGUGCAGGCGUUAUCCGGAUUUAUUGGGUUUAAAGGGUGCGCAGGCGGACCUAUAAGUCAGUGGUGAAAUCCUACAGCUUAACUGUAGAACUGCCAUUGAUACUGUAGGUCUUGAGUCUGGUUGAGGUAGGCGGAAUGUGUCAUGUAGCGGUGAAAUGCUUAGAGAUGACACAGAACACCGAUUGCGAAGGCAGCUUACUAAACCAGUACUGACGCUGAGGCACGAAAGCGUGGGGAGCGAACAGGAUUAGAUACCCUGGUAGUCCACGCCGUAAACGAUGAAUACUCGCUGUUAGCGAUACACAGUUAGCGGCUAAGCGAAAGCAUUAAGUACUCCACCUGGGGAGUACGUUCGCAAGAAUGAAACUCAAAGGAAUUGACGGGGGCCCGCACAAGCGGAGGAACAUGUGGUUUAAUUCGAUGAUACGCGAGGAACCUUACCUGGGCUUAAAUGUAGUUUGAUUUUACUGGAAACGGUAUUUCCCUUCGGGGCAGAUUACAAGGUGCUGCAUGGUUGUCGUCAGCUCGUGCCGUGAGGUGUCGGGUUAAGUCCCAUAACGAGCGCAACCCCUAUUCUUAGUUGCCAGCGGGUAAUGCCGGGGACUCUAAGGAGACUGCCAGUGUAAACUGUGAGGAAGGUGGGGAUGACGUCAAAUCAGCACGGCCCUUAUGUCCAGGGCUACACACGUGUUACAAUGGCCGAUACAAAGGGCAGCUACCUGGUGGCAGGAUGCUAAUCUCGAAAGUCGGUCUCAGUUCGGAUCGAAGUCUGCAACUCGACUUCGUGAAGUUGGAUUCGCUAGUAUCGUAUAUCAGCAAUGAUACGGUGAAUACGUUCCCGGGCCUUGUACACACCGCCCGUCAAACCAUGGAAGCUGGGGGUACCUGAAGUACGUAACCGUAAGGAGCGUCCUAGGGUAAAUCUGGUAACUGGGGUUAAGUCGAAACAAGGUA
rnacentral:rRNA from 1 species